rnacentral:rRNA from 1 species
CACGUAGGGGCCAAGCGUUAUCCGGAUUCACUGGGUUUAAAGGGUGCGUAGGUGGGCAGGUAAGUCCGUGGUGAAAUCUCUGAGCUUAACUCAGAAACUGCCGUGGAUACUAUUUGUCUUGAAUAUUGUGGAGGUGAGCGGAAUAUGUCAUGUAGCGGUGAAAUGCUUAGAUAUGACAUAGAACACCAAUUGCGAAGGCAGCUCACUACACAAUUAUUGACGCUGAGGCACGAAGGCGUGGGGAUCAAACAGG